ACACGCCCAGAUGAUGUCACAAUCAGCUGUAUCUAAACAGAGCAGAGCUCAGGUGACAUCACAGAACAGGCAGAGGCAGUUCAGGGGUAUUCUGGUUGCCUUACCCAGCUCUGAAGUCUGUCAGCCUCUUCAGAUGUCACUUGCCAUGUGGUAAGGAAGUGUAGUCAGCAGCUGGUGCAGUGGGAAGAAGAGAAAGGAAGUUCCCCAAGACAAAAACAUCUCGGCAGACUUCAUCAUGAAUUCAUGGCAUCACACAGUCCCCUGAUGCUAUAACAUCAUGGAUUUCUUUUGUCCAGUGAGAGGCCCAAAAGCUGCAGCAUAGACAAUAUCAUAGUGUAGAAGGUUCACUAGACCGUGAUCAUGGGCUACAUUCUCCGUACCAGCUUCAUAGCUCCAGUGAGAAAAUAAAUUCCUGCAUCCAGGAGAUGUGGAGUAAGAGAUACAGCUGCCCUUGACCAUAUUUCUUACUUCCGAGAAGAUCGUAGCAGUAAUUCAGAAUCUCAUCCAGGAUACCUCAUCACAGGCUGGAGUGCAGUGUCAUGAGCUUGGCUCACUACAGCCUCCAUCUUCUGUGCUUAAGGAUCCUUCCCUCUCAACCUCCAAGGUAGCUGAGACUACAGGCAACAUUCGAAACCCAGGUGCCACUCCUUCAGGAAGGUACCAUCAAGCUCCAAGGACUCAUCCUCUUUCUCCUUCCCCACUACCUAGUCAUUAGAGCGUCAGCAUCCACUUCCUGAAAGGAAGAUGCCUGUUUUUCACAUAUCCCAGAAAGCCUCAUUUUAGGACAGCAUUUAGCAGAGUGUAUUCAGGAUCCCACUAACCUUUUCGGAAGACAUGACUUCCAGAUGAUAUAAGGCUCCAUCAGGAACUGUGCAGGACUGUGCACUCUGUUGAUACUCACAUGGUGGAAUUAUAUUGCCCUUGGCCAACCCUAAAGCCAUCAAGAUAGCAGCAACUACUCUAUCAUUACUGUACCACCACCUGUAUGGAUCUCGUUGCCCAUAUGAAACUGAGUAAGGAACAAUGUGCAUCACACUCACAGAGAAAGAUGGACAAGUUUGGAAUAAUUCACUGUCGAAGUCUUCUUGAGCUGAGCAGUCAUGUGAGCUUGGAAGAUGAUCCCUCUCCAGCUGAUCCUUCAGCUCAGGCCAUCAUCUACAUCUGGAUUCCUGACCCGGAGAAACUAUGAGUAAUGUGUGCUGCUUUUGAGCCACUAAGCUACAUGAAUUAAUGAAGGAUCAUUAUUAAGUUUUUAAUGGGUCAAGAGAAAGUUACCACUGAGGUCUUCUCUACCUGGGCAACAAUUGACUCCUAACAACCACUAUAAGCUUGGAAGAUGAUCCCUCCCCAGCUGAUCCUUCAGGUCAGAUUUUUCACAGAGCCAUAGAUAUCUUAUCAUCCUCUGUGGCUUGAAGACUAAUGGCAAUAAAACAUUUCUCAAUAAAGGAGGCUAUACCAUUGUCUGUGUGAUUUCCACUUUCCCUGUUGACACUUAUUCUGCCAGUUUUGAUGUAGGUCAUCUUGCCAGAAGAUGAAAGCAGAUUUCAGGUGAAGUUCAUACAUGUGUAGACAUUAAAAACUGUCAAGGCUACUACCAGGCUAACAGCAAUUGUAAAACUUGAAAACAAAACAUGAUUAAAAUAGGUAAAAUGCAAUAAAUAAUAAAGAUUUGAAAAUAUUUAUUCAGAGAGACAAAUUGAUAGAACUGAAACUUG
rnacentral:lncRNA from 1 species